rnacentral:tRNA from 1 species
GACCCCUCCUUGUAAGGUAAGGUAACCUUGAAAGUUACUAAAGAGCAUAGGUGUUCAGGGGUUU